rnacentral:rRNA from 1 species
CGCACGGGUGAGUAAUGCUUGGGUAACAUACCUUUUCGCUGGGGAUAACUAGGGGAAACCUUGGCUAAUACCGAAUGAAUCGCAAGAGUGGAAUUCUCUUUCGAUAAAGCCUUAAGGCCGAAUGAUUGGCCCAAGUCUCAUUAGCUAGUUGGUAGGGUAACGGCCUACCAAGGCAACGAUGGGUAGCUGGUCUGAGAGGAUGAUCAGCCACACUGGAACUGGAACACGGUCCAG